UCCUAUCGUUUGACAGUUGCUUUGCUUUACUGUAGUAAAAGCAGCGCUAUAUUCAAACUUAGUUGUUGCUGUUUGUUAGUUCUGCGUAAUGCGAAGUUAACUUCGUGCGAAUUCCAACUGGCAAGACUUAUGCAGUACUAGCACUUAAUACUUACUUUUAGAUAACGGUUAAAUAACUAGUGUAAAUGUUUUUUGAAUGCGGCACCGCAUUCAAAAAACAGGUAGCCACCUUAAGGCAGCACGAGCCUUCCGCCAAAUUCAGACACGAAGACUUAAACCUUUUGAAUAGCGGAAGUUGUGAUACCAAUUACGGAAAAUCUUCUACUGAUUGUUUUGCAGAUUUUGCAAAAACAAAACGCCGUGCGAGCGUUUUGUGGUCGUCUAAGAGUGGACAUUCAGCUUCAACGAGGCUGAUCGUGUCAGUGGCGGUCUGCCUACACUUGAACGAAGGUGGAAUCAGUCAAGCACCGUUCCUGCCGGCAAAUCCUUUUCCAGCCAAGUGGAAUGAAGAUCAGCAUUCUGACUAACCGGUGCCCGAAAGAGCACCCGAUCGGCGGCCUGGUUGGUCUGGACGCUGAACGUGCUCUGGAGAUGGUAAAAACCGACGGGGAAGCGUCUCUUCUUCAGCGUUGUAGGAGGAGACACUCCUGCGGCAGUCAUGGCUGUCGGCGAGCGGAGGUUGCCAUGACAGGAUUUAGGAGCCCUGCCGAAGUAUGGCUGCACAUUAAGAAGCACCGGAAGUAUAAAUAUGAAUCAUUUUUAUCGAAGAAAUUUGCAGUAUUCGCGUCUUUCGCUGUAUUCUCUGGAUUGUUUCCUAAACCGGCAACGUAGUCGGCAUGGAAACUGGAGUGUUCAACGUUUUUGGUAUAAUCGUUCACAGAAUUAAAGGCAUUGAAAACUCCUUUUUCCAUGCCGUUCACGAGUCCGACUCCUGAGGGCACAUUAUGGAACAAGGUCAUAUCUGGCUUUAAUAUCUUCGGCCUGUUUUGUUUAUUCAGAUGCGAAAACCGAAGAAAGUUCAACUCACUCUUGAUAUGCUGUCACAUGGAAUGUGUGCGAACUCAAGUGUAACAAUUAUGAGGAUGGAGGGAUGACUGUAAUCAUUGUGACACUACAGUUUCUCGGAAACUGUUUGAACGCCUGGCUGGAAAAACCGUGUUAUGGCAGUUCUCUUUUGGCAGAAGCACCUGGCUGGUUGUCGGCUACGACUUUGAAUCAUGUAGCCAUCAAAAUACAAUAAAGUACAAACGCGAGCACAACUCCUUGGUUAGUAUACUUUAAUGGACCUCGCUCUUUGGUGACCCAUGCGCCUGCAGGUUCUUUAGUCCGUUCUUGGCUUACCACGGUCCUGCCUACAACAGCUUCUUGGGGGUGCGGCUGUUGGUCGAACACGCCGACUGGGCGGCGCCGGCCAUGGCAACACAGAAACCGACCGGAUAUGUGCGCACGUGUGCUGACUUAACGAGUCGCUGGAAGUACAGAAGUAUUCGUUUCCAACGGCCGAUGAACGUACUGUAUCUGAAGAUCUAGAGGGAAGUAAACGUGUACAUGCGGAUUUUUUGUUGGAAUUUGAGCCGGGACAACUGCUAAGUCAGAAUGGGACCAGCUUCAGGCUUUUAUGUGUUGUAAUCUCGUGAUGAAACUCUCGAUGACUGAUGACGUCCCUUACAAUGUUAAACUGUGAACUUGCUUGUCACUGUCGUAGUUUGGUUAUUAUGUAUAAAUUAAUAAGAACCAGUCAUGUACUGUUGUACUUUUGCUGGUUAGGCUGCAAUUUCGCUCAGAUAGCAUGCCGGUGCUGUACUUACGUAAGAAAUUUAUU